rnacentral:rRNA from 1 species
AGUCGUAACAAGGUCUCCGUAGGUGAACCUGCGGAGGGAUCAUUACACAAAUAUGAAGGCGGGCUGGAACCUCUCGGGGUUACAGCCUUGCUGAAUUAUUCACCCUUGUCUUUUGCGUACUUCUUGUUUCCUUGGUGGGUUCGCCCACCACUAGGACAAACAUAAACCUUUUGUAAUUGCAAUCAGCGUCAGUAACAAAUUAAUAAUUACAACUUUCAACAACGGAUCUCUUGGUUCUGGCAUCGAUGAAGAACGCAGCGAAAUGCGAUAAGUAGUGUGAAUUGCAGAAUUCAGUGAAUCAUCGAAUCUUUGAACGCACAUUGCGCCCUUUGGUAUUCCAAAGGGCAUGCCUGUUCGAGCGUCAUUUGUACCCUCAAGCUUUGCUUGGUGUUGGGCGUCUUGUCUCUAGCUUUGCUGGAGACUCGCCUUAAAGUAAUUGGCAGCCGGCCUACUGGUUUCGGAGCGCAGCACAAGUCGCACUCUCUAUCAGCAAAGGUCUAGCAUCCAUUAAGCCUUUUUUUUUCAACUUUUGACCUCGGAUCAGGUAGGGAUACCCGCUGAACUUAAGCAUAUCAAUAAGUCG